AUACGGAGGGGGCUAGCGUUGUUCGGAAUUACUGGGCGUAAAGCGCACGUAGGCGGAUUGGUAAGUUGGGGGUGAAAUCCCAAGGCUCAACCUUGGAACUGCCCUCGAAACUGCCAGUCUUGAGUCCGGAAGAGGUGAGUGGAAUUCCUAGUGUAGAGGUGAAAUUCGUAGAUAUUAGGAAGAACACCAGUGGCGAAGGCGGCUCACUGGUCCGGUACUGACGCUGAGGUGCGAAAGCGUGGGGAGCAAACAGGAUUAGAAACCCCAGUAGUCC
rnacentral:rRNA from 1 species